GGGUAAGGAUCAAUUAGAGGAUGUUGAGGAUUGGGGUAAGGAUCAGUUAGAGGAUGGGGGUAAGGAUCAGUUAGAGGAUGUGGAGGAUGGGGGUAAGGAUCAGUUAGAGGAUGUUGAGGAUGGGGGUAAGGAUCAGUUAGAGGAUGUUGAGGAUGGGGGUAAGGAUCAGUUAGAGGAUGUGGAGGAUGGGGGUAAGGAUCAGUUAGAGGAUGUUGAGGAUGGGGGUAAGGAUCAGUUAGAGGAUGUUGAGGAUGGGGGUAAGGAUCAGUUAGAGGAUGUUGAGGAUGGGGUAGCUUGCUGCUCAGUCCUCAACGGAGAGGAACGCAGAAGGAUAUGUUUCACAUAUUUACUGGAAGUUCUAUAAUCACUAAGUGACACACAACCACAUCCAGACAUUCAGAAUAGUGACAAACCCUCCCUCCACAUGAAUUCUGGGGGCANNNNNNNNNNUCUCUCUCUCUCGAGACAGACCAGAGUUCCAGAGAAAACAGGAACCUAGAAAACCAUGCCAACCCCUUAAACUGAGACCAUGUGUAGGAAAACGCCUCUCUCUUUCACUCUCUCCAUCCCAACCUCCCUUCAUCCCUCCCUCCUCCCCUAUCUCUGUAACAGCUUAGUGGUGAGGGGUUUAGGCUUACAUCAAGGUGAGCGACCGGGGCACGUGAGCAGCUGUGGAAACUAAAGGGCUACCCACAAGCCCCGCUGCCAANNNNNNNNNNUCUAUAUGAUUCAGUUACCCAGAUCACACAGUCUAUAUGAUUCAGUUACCCAGGUAACACAGUCUAUAUGAUUCAGUUACCCAGAUCACACAGUCUAUAUGAGUCAGUUACCCAGGUCACACAGUCUAUAUGAUUCAGUUACCCCAGGUAACACACAGUCACACAGUGUAAAUGAGUAUACAGUACAGCUGAUCUAAGGCAUGCAGACAUGCAAAAACUCAUUUGAUUGAGUUUUCUUUCAGGCUAACAACGUUAACAACGUUAACAACGGAAAUAUGCACCGCUCCUCUUAAGUUUGCAGAAAGAUCUCAACGUUUACAAAAGGGCUCUUUGUUCAGUAGCAAGUAGCAACCUUUCGUCCCCGGAAUGUGAAACAUGCGGCUCCAAUUCGCCGAGCUCCAGAAAUUGAUCCGAUGCAGGCAACAAAGGCUGGCUGCUGACCGUGGUCUGUAGAAGGGAAGGCCUGGGAGCUUGCUAAAGCAGAGCCCACCUCAGCUGUCUGGCAGCCAGAGUGGACAGGCAGCAGUCUGUGAACAACUGACGGCAGAAACACACAGUAUCCAGGUUGGGAUUCAGUAUAGAUGCUUUGCAUUCAAGUUAGUGGAGGAAUGUCAAUGGUGCCUGUGUAACGUCUGAAAGGUCAAUCACCCUGACGGUUGUCUCUCUGAGUGUCACUGGCCUCUUUGUGUCGAGUUGAACCAGCUGCUGUCUCCCUCCUAUAGGCUGGCUCAAAGCGUUCAGCGUGCACGGAGCACGGCCCGGCCUACAACAGUGUCAACAAACGCGAUAGUAGUCAAUCCAUCAUUCUGUCUCAGCCGCUGAAUCACACAGCAGUCAUGCGGGAGGCGUGUGUGGAGGCAGGGAGAGAGGGAGGAGACAGGACGGCAACCAGCUGGCGCUGAGGUUCUUUGCUUGCCCUUCAUUUCUAAAUAGUCUCCCACUGUAUUCAUUUAGAAAAUGAAUAGGUAAUAUUGUUGAAAUAAGUCACAUCUGAAUCGAUGCCUCAGGUACAAAGCAACAAACACCUUGAGGACCACUUCCUCCAAACCUC
rnacentral:lncRNA from 13 species